rnacentral:lncRNA from 1 species
AAAAAAAAAAAAAACGAAGAGAGUUUAGAACAGGAAGCUUUAACCAAACGAAUUGAAAGGGGUCGAAGAGCACGAACGGAGGGAGAGAGAGAUAGAUAGAUAGAGAUUUUCUUUCUUUCUUUCUUUCUUUCUCUCUUCUCUUCUCCGGUUCUCGGGCGAAAGAAGAAAACUGGUUUCCGUUCCGUGCGGUUUUGCGCGGUCUAUUUGGCCGGAUGGGGAGGGGAGGGGAGGUGGAGUGGCCGAGAUUUGUCUUUUUUCCAAGUUGCACGCGCCACUGGAGGAAGUCAGGAGGGAGGGGGGCGGUGUUGUUACCGCGGGGAAGAUGGAUUAAGGAGAAGGGAUAGAAGAAGGGUGGAGCAAGAAAGGUGGUGGAGGAAAGAAGGUUCAUGAACGCGUGCUCGCGUGCCGUGCGCGAAUUAGGAACGGGUCCACGUGUAUUUUGUAUCUGUGUAUUUGGCCACGACAAGCCAGGCUCCCCAGGCGUCCGUAAAUCAUCCGAAUUAGCGCAAUUUCGACGUCGAGAGUGGCCCGGAACUGUUUCUGUCUCUCCGCCUUUCUUCGCGGUGGGGGGGCAGGAUUAAUGGAAGCGACGCGCGCGGCGAAGAAUGAAAAUUCGGCCGAGGGGUGGAGGCGAGGAGGAUCCCCGAGCAUCAUUAAGCGGAGAGAGUCGGUGGAGGAGGGGGGGAGGUUAAAACGAUCGACCUCGAGUCUUCUUGGAAAGGGGAAUAAAUCUCGCGUUCGUUGGAAAAACGUGAGUGGAAGGUUUUUUAUACACGGGGGAGUGAGGUUGACUGGCAUGAAAUAAUGGGGGAGAAAUAUAGGAGGGAUACAGUGGUAACACGCCUGAUCGCGUGGUAGUGCGAAAUUAUCAAAUCCAACGCUCUUUCUUUUCGUUUUCUUUUUUUUUUUUUUUCCUUGUAUUUUCAAGUCUGUACACACAAUUUUCGAUUUCUGCGAAAAUCUGGAAAAUUUGUUUAGAAAAUUUCGAUCGAUACGUAGAAGGAAUGAAGAAACGUUAACGAAAAUUUCAUGAAAAUUAACAAUAAUAAUGACGGUAAUUGGUUUAAUAAAAAAAAAAAAAAGGAAAAAGAAGAAUCAAUUUAUACGCUUCAAGUUGAUACAAUUAAAUUUGUUUCUCUCUAGUUCUCUAUAAAUAGUAAUGGCAAACGUGUCAAGAUCCACGCUUACCUUGAGAUUCAAUUUCACGGUUUUAAUUUCCCUUCCCGUUUUUUGCGGUUUUUUCGAAUGGGAUUGAAUAAUUAAAUAUUGUGGACGAGGAAGAGAGGGUGACACCGGUCUCUGCGGUUUAUUGUUUUUAAUUUUCGUGAACUGGACCAUCCCAUCCGUUCGUCUAACCGUGCAUAUGCAUAUAUGCGGAAUAUAUAUAUAUAAAGAGAGAGAGAGAGAGAGAGAGAGAGAGAGAGAGAGAGAGACAGAGAGAAAGAGAGAUAGAGAGAGAGAGAAGAGAGAGAGAGAGAAGGAGGAGAGGUUGGAGCGGGGAUCCGACGGCAGUUUGUUUCAUGAAUAUUUCAGCGUCUGGCGUUCCUGGUAAACAGCGGACGCCGUGGAAUUAUGUUUCCAGGCUGUUUUCAACGUCUGGCGUCGCCCGGGU